GAAAGAAACUGUGGGGAAAGAGCAUAUAGGAGCAUAUAAAGACUUCUGAGGUGUUGGAAAUUUUUAUUACUUAAUCUCAGUAUUAUAUACACAAUUAUUUAUCUUAUUACUGACACAAUCAAUUUAUACAUAUUUCCAUAUACAUAAUUACCUUUAUAAAAUAAAAAGAGACACCAAUAGGACAACAAGAUAGCAUCCAACAUGACAUUAUUUACUUGUGAUGAAGUCAGAGCUAAAGCCCAAAUCCAUCAAGUCUGUUUCUCUGCCAGGUGAUAAUAUGGGUGGUGAUAACAAAGUUAAUAUGUGGUUAGCUGGAGACCUCCAAACCCUGAACCAUCCAUCUUUCUCUACAUGGUCCUAAAGGGAAACACAUGCACAGAAAAAUGCCCUGUUGACUGAGAAGGCAAAACUUUAAUGCUUACCAGGUUCUUGAUCUCUAAACAAGUAAGCUAGGCUAGGUGGAGACCUUUCCUAGACUAGAGACAGCCAGGUCUGACAAUCACAGCAAGCGAAAUGGUCUUCUCCAGCCCAGUCUCCCUAACUCUAUCAAAGUUUUGAAUUGUGUGUGAUUCUAAUGAUGACAACAGGUUUUCACCAGAGUUCCCCAGCUAGCAAGAGGAACAAAAAGUCUCUGUCUGUCUAGGCUUAUUUAUAUUCUGCUAAAGUUUUUUUCAUUUCUUAGUACAGGCUGUCCAAUUAGGGUUCUGGCCUUCAACCAAGUAAAAAUGAUACUUAAAACCUUGAGAAUGGAGUAGAAAGUGAGUUGUGAGCCUGUUCUGGCCAAUAGACAGUAUUGUCUGUUUUUAUUUGUAAGCUAUCCUAAGCAGCCAACAAUGAGACCACAGAGGUGGGUGUGCAACUAGCGAUUCACCAGUAGUGUGAAUAUGAGAAGUUUGAUCAAUUAGAGUCUGUGCUAUCUCGUGAAUAAGUCCAAUCAUAACAUUUCUUUGUCUGCUUUCUUUUUAUGUGACUAUAAAAAGAUGUCAACAGUGCAUUUAAAGUUUCCUGCAGAGAGGAAAUAUGCAGAUCACAAUGAAGGGCAAUGCUCAGGAAGCUGUUUUCAAGGAGAUCCAGGGCUAGGAGAAAAAGUCUUCAAAAAAUGUCUACCUAAAACAAAAGCUGCAUUCUGGGGUGCUGCUAACUUAUAUUUCCAGCGACACAAAGGGACAUGGAUGAAUCUGGAGAACAUCAUUCUCAGCAAACUGACACAAGAACAGAAAAUGAAACACUGCAUAUUCUCACUCAUAGGCGGGUGAUGAAAAAUGAGAACACAUGGACACAGAAAGGGGAGUACUAAACACUGGGGUCUAUUGGGGGGAAAAGGGGAGG
rnacentral:lncRNA from 13 species